UACGUAGGGGGCAAGCGUUGUCCGGAAUCAUUGGGCGUAAAGAGCGUGUAGGCGGCCCGAUAAGUCCGCUGUGAAAGUCCAGGGCUCAACCCUGGGAUGCCGGUGGAUACUGUCGGGCUCGAGUCCGGAAGAGGAGUGUGGAAUUCCUGGUGUAGCGGUGAAAUGCGCAGAUAUCAGGAGGAACACCAAUGGCGAAGGCAGCACUCUGGGACUUGACUGACGCUGAGACGCGAAAGCGUGGGGAGCAAACAGG
rnacentral:rRNA from 1 species